ACAACAACUAUGAAAAGGAUAGUAAUAAAAAAUCUGGUUUUAAGAGACAUAAUCCUCGGCUGAAAGAUUGUGACGAAGGUUUUUUAUGAAGAUCACCUUGGAGUUGGGCAGCUGAAAUUAUCUAAGCUGCUCCGUAGGCAUACGUUACAUGUUUUAAGCGAUUGAUGGAGCUAUCCAUUAAUAACAAGGGUGGUACCGCGGAUAAUCCGUCCCUAAG
rnacentral:ncRNA from 1 species